AGAAGAACGAGUCCAGACUUUCUACACAUAGCUGCUGAACGGCACCCAAAGGAGUUCAUCAACGAACCUCGAUCGCAUUAAUACAGGAUUCUCCAGCUUUACAAAGAGAAAAUGGUGGAUUAUAAAGUGACUGUGUUCACUGGCACCCACGUCAGCGCCACCACUUUAAACAAUGUCUUCAUUAAGCUGGUGAGAGUGAUCGCGAGAAGCUCAUCAAAGGGACUACAGUGAUAGGAGCAGUGUCUAAUUUUACCAUAUCCUGCCCGAUCUCCAUUGGAGAGCUGGUCCUCAUAGAAAUACAGAAACAGUCAUUUCUAUGGUUAACAAGCGAUGACUGGUGUCCUGCCAAGGUGAAGUGCAAUCACCUGAGGAAAACGCUUAUACCUUUCCCAUCUACUGCUGGAUCACUGAUGUGAGGUGUGCCGCUUCAGAGGGAAAA